UACGUAGGGGGCAAGCGUUGUCCGGAUUUAUUGGGCGUAAAGAGCGUGUAGGCGGUCAGGUAGGUCGGUUGUGAAAACUGGAGGCUCAACCUUCAGAGGUCGACCGAAACCCCCUGGCUAGAGUCCGGGAGAGGAGAGUGGAAUUCCUGGUGUAGCGGUGAAAUGCGCAGAUAUCAGGAAGGACACCCGUGGCGAAAGCGGCUCUCUGGAACGGUACUGACGCUGAGACGCGAAAGCGUGGGGAGCGAACAGG
rnacentral:rRNA from 1 species